rnacentral:rRNA from 1 species
AGACAAUGGAGAGUUUGAUCCUGGCUCAGGAUGAACGCUGGCGGCGUGCCUAAUACAUGCAAGUCGAACGGGAAUCUUCGGAUUCCAGUGGCGAACGGGUGAGGAAUACAUAGGUAACCUGCCCCUCCGAGGGGGACAACAGACGGAAACAUCUGCUAAGACCGCAUAGCCACAGGGAA